CUACGUGCCAGCAGCCGCGGUAAUACGGAGGAUGCGAGCGUUAUUCGGAAUCAUUGGGUUUAAAGGGUCUGUAGGCGGGCUAUUAAGUCAGGGGUGAAAUCUUACAGCUUAACUGUGAAAUUGCCUUUGAUACUGGUAGUCUUGAAUAUUUGUGAAGUUUUUGGAAUGUGUAGUGUAGCGGUGAAAUGCUUAGAUAUUACACAGAACACCGAUUGCGAAGGCAGGAGACUAACAAAUGAUUGACGCUGAGAGACGAGAGCGUGGGGAGCGAACAGGAUUAGAUACCCUGGUAGUCCACGCUGUAAACGAUGGAUACUAGCUGUUUGGCGUAAGCUGAGUGGCUAAGCGAAAGUGAUAAGUAUCCCACCUGGGGAGUACGCACGCAAGUGUGAAACUCAAAGGAAUUGACGGGGGCCCGCACAAGCGGUGGAGCAUGUGGUUUAAUUCGAUGAUACGCGAGGAACCUUACCAAGGUUUAAAUGGGAACUGACAUACUUAGAGAUAGGUAUU
rnacentral:rRNA from 1 species